UAGUAUAUAAACAAAGUAUCUACUGAGACAAUUUUUCUUAUAAAUAAAGGAAUAUUUUUUUCUUUACUAUUUUUUGUAUAGAAAAAAAAUACAUGAAAGCAAAACAGGAAAAUGUGUCUUAAUAUGCCUAAUUGAUAAAGAAUAAACAAGUGAUUAAAGGAGUAUAUACUUGAACAAAUCCCAGAACUAAGGAAGGUAAGCAAACAAGCUCGGAGAAAUGAUACGUUAUCUUAAGAGAUACCAAUCAAAUAAAACCUUCUUCGUAACCUAUUCACAUAAACAUUCACAGAAAUUUGAUAUUUACUGGCAGGACAUAAGCUAGAGUUUCGAAAGCUAGAAAAUAGGUUUAUCGCUGACUAUUCUGUGACUAAGAAAUUGACUACGGGUAUUCCCUUUUCUUGUUUCAGCGGUAUUUUCCGUAAGUAUAAAAUAAAAGAUCCAUUUCUCGCUAAAUAGUGUAUAGUAUUUAAAAUUGUAACAAUAUGUCAGCAAUGCACUACAUUAUUAACGAUUUAGUUUAAAAUGGCUACGAAGAAGAACUUUUAAUAAUUAAUAAUAUUGCCUUUUCAAACAAAAACGUGGAAUGUAUAUAAACUAUUGCAAUUGUCUAACAUUCCAUAGAUACUUUCUAAUCGUAAACAUGAAAGUUUCCUUAAUCAUCGCUAUUCUUGUUGCCGUUAUGGCUAUUGCAUCCUGUGUAGAAGAAGAUGAAUUCACAGGACCAUCUCACCUCAUAGAAAAAAGAGAAGCAAUAAUAGCACCGGCCGCACUUCCUUCGUGUGGUUUUUACGAAUGCAGCGCCAAUUGCAAAAGAAGGGGUUACUGGAAAGGUGGAUACUGCACCAUUAAUGGAUGCCAAUGCAUUUAUUAGCAAUCUGAAAAUAUUAAUGAAUGAAGCAUAA